rnacentral:rRNA from 2 species
GUUCGCCGCCCGUGACUCGGCGAGAAGUCCAUNGAACCUUAUCAUUUAGAGGAAGGAGAAGUCGUAACAAGGUUUCCGUAGGUGAACCUGCGGAAGGAUCAUUG